rnacentral:rRNA from 1 species
UACGUAGGGUGCAAGCGUUGUCCGGAAUUAUUGGGCGUAAAGAGCUCGUAGGCGGUUUGUCGCGUCUGCUGUGAAAUCCCAGGGCUUAACUCCGGGUCUGCAUUCGAUACGGGCAGGCUAGAGUUCGGUAGGGGAGACUGGAAUUCCUGGUGUAGCGGUGAAAUGCGCAGAUAUCAGGAGGAACACCGGUGGCGAAGGCGGGUCUCUGGGCCGAUACUGACGCUGAGGAGCGAAAGCGUGGGGAGCGAACAGG